UACGGGGGGGGCAAGCGUUGUUCGGAAUUACUGAGCGUAAAGGGCUCGUAGGUGGUCAACUAAGUCAUACGUGAAAUCCCUCGGCUUAACCGGGGAACUGCGCCUGAUACUGGUUGACUUGAGUUUGGGAGAGGGACGCGGAAUUCCAGGUGUAGCGGUGAAAUGCGUAGAUAUCUGGAGGAACACCGGUGGCGAAGGCGGCGUCCUGGACCAAUACUGACACUGAGGAGCGAAAGCCAGGGGAGCAAACGGG
rnacentral:rRNA from 1 species